rnacentral:lncRNA from 1 species
GAACGGGGGAGAAGAAGGGCACCGCGGCGGGAGGGAAGAAACAGAGCGAGCUACGCUGCAGGAGCGCAGUUACCAGCCGGCUGCGAUCACGUGCCUGGGAGGAGGAGCUGAGACCUCAGGGGAGGGGCGCGCGGUAGCGUCCCGGGUCCCCUAGCAGGGCUCUAGAGACCACGUGAAGUCUCCUCGACAGCUGCUUUGCCUCAGGCAUAAAUCAGAAGAGGAAAACCAGCUUCUGGACCUGGAGAGAGGAUGAAAGGGAAUAGGAAUUGAGGGAAGCGGAAGGGAAGAAUAAGGGACCCCUGGAGAGUCCCUACCAAGCCAGACAUAACAAACAAAAGUCCUCUACUACUGAGGAAGACAGAACAGGGAAGCCAGCAGGGGAAGAAAAAGAUGCUGCUGCUCUUGAUGCCUCAAAAACAGCAAGGAAGAACCCAAGCAACUGAUGUACACACCCUUGGAACAAAUCUGCCCCAGAAGUACAAGACACACUCUUCGAAUUCAUGGAAUAAAUGGGAGGAGCUGGUGUAGUGAAGGAUGAAGAGAAGGCAAUGCAUUGGUUUAGUCCCACAGUAGGCCAUCUGCAAGCUGAGAAGCAAGGAAGCCUGUCUGAGUCCCCAAGCUGAAGAACUUGGAGUCCAAUGCUUAAGGGCAGGAAGCAUCCAGCAUGGGAGAAAGAUGUAGCCUGGGAGGCUAAGCCAAUCUAGCCUUUUCACAUUUUUCUGCCUGCUUUUAUCCUAGCUGCGACAGCAGCUGAUUAGAUUGUGCCCACCCAGAUUAAGGGUGGGUCUGCCUUUCCCAGCCCACUAACUCAAAUGUUAAUCUCCUUUGGCAACACCCUCACAGACACACCCAGGAUCAAUCCUUUGCAUCCCUCAAUCCAAUCAAGUUGACACUCAGUAUUAACCAUCACAAGUCCACCCCUUGUCAACUUUAACCGAUACACAUCUCCUGAGAUCAUACAUAAUCUUCAAAUAAAAGCAAUAAUAAGCUCAUAAUUAUGCCUAACAUAAUGCAACUAUCCUUCAUACAGCCAGAAAUGCACCACUCCCCAACCCAAAUACUCUUACAUAAAGUUAAUGAUGCUCGAAUGCUGAUAUGAAGUAAAUAAAUCU